UACGUAGGGGGCAAGCGUUGUCCGGAUUUAUUGGGCGUAAAGAGCGUGUAGGCGGCCGUACAGGUCAGCUGUGAAAACUCGAGGCUCAACCUCGAGACGUCGGUUGAAACCGUACGGCUAGAGUCCGGAAGAGGAGAGUGGAAUUCCCGGUGUAGCGGUGAAAUGCGCAGAUAUCGGGAAGAACACCCGUGGCGAAAGCGGCUCACUGGACCAUUACUGACGCUGAGGCACGAAAGCUAGGGGAGCAAACAGG
rnacentral:rRNA from 1 species